UUCACCCUGUAUCACCCUGUAGCCCAAGACUGGUUGCCCACUGAAGCUAAGCAGGGCUGAGCCUGGUCAGUACCUGGAUGGGAGACUUCCUGGGAAAACUAGGUUGCUGCUGGAA
rnacentral:rRNA from 1 species